UACAGAGGUCUCAAGCGUUGUUCGGAUUCAUUGGGCGUAAAGGGUGCGUAGGCGGCGCGGUAAGUCGGGUGUGAAAUCUCGGAGCUUAACUCCGAAACUGCAUUCGAUACUGCCUUGCUCGAGGACUGGAGAGGAGAUUGGAAUUCACGGUGUAGCAGUGAAAUGCGUAGAUAUCGUGAGGAAGACCAGUGGCGAAGGCGGAUCUCUGGACAGUUCCUGACGCUGAGGCACGAAGGCCAGGGGAGCAAACGGG
rnacentral:rRNA from 1 species